GUACUAAAGACACAAUAUUCCUGAUUCCAUUCCUAAAUGCAUGGCCACUCGGUACCCCAUGAGGAAUCAGGUCAGACGGGUCCGUUUGCUUGAAUGACAGGAAGAGAGAAACGUUAUAAACAAGGUCUUGCAUAACAGGAAGGAAACAAAGCUCAGAUUAAGUUCUGCCAAAAUCUCUCUCGAGCAGCAGAAAUUCGAAUAAAUCGACAGAGCAAAGUGGAAUAGACAUCCUGUACGUGUUAACGAAUACGCUGCUGAAUACUGCUGUGUAACGAGCAUUACUGUACAUUACAUAAAAGAGAUGAGGAAAAUCUCUUAGCAACUGAAUACACUCUUUAGUUUUAAUACACACCACUAAAGCCCCAAUUAAAAUCCUUAUCAUGAUUACGGAGUACACUUCCAGUCUAAGGUUACUGACCACCUCGAGAGUUUGUGUGUUUUAUUAGUUUAAUCAGUAUUAUUACUACAACCCAAGCAGAAUUAUAACUACAAAUAAAGCAAUCAAAAUCUUUAAGGAACUUAUUAACUGGUCACUCUCAGAUCCCAAUACUACUUUCAUCCUCUUAUUAGAUCAGAUCAGAUCUAAAUUAUUCUUUAAAAAUAAAAAAAAUAAAAAAUCAUCAUUCAGUAACAUAUUUAUUGAUGCCUUGGUUAGAUUUUCAAAUUGUAGAGUACUUAAAAUGACUUCAUGGAAUAAAGAUAGUGUAGAGCAAGCUACAUUUCGCUUUUUUUUAUGCACUCCUCUACAGUAAGCUCUUCAUCCUGUUCAGGGUGAAUCCGGAGACGAUCCUGGGAACGCUGAGCGCAAAGAAGGGAUACACCCUGGCUGGGAUAGCAGCAUGACCUCUCUCUCUCCCACACACACACACACAGGCAAUUUACAGUUGUCAGUCCACAUACCGGCAUUAUUUUGGACAGAGGAGGAAACCCGAGAUGAAACCCACGGGGGCAGUACCUGGACCUGAGGACUGAACCCAGGACACAGGAGCGGCAUAUACGCGUGUGCAUCCAUCUGCAUUCCAAGGCUGUCCACAAAACUGGUUGGGAAAACAAAGAGUACAAAAGAGAGCCACUUCCUGCUCCAUGGAUGAUACCCUCAGCAACAAGAGCAGACAAGUCACAGCACAACAAAAAAGGGAAGAGGGGGAAAAAAACACGCAUAAUUAAACCACAAGAGAUGAAACAGACCCCUAGCAUGGCUGGGUCCUGAAUGGGGGUGUAUUCACCUAAUCAAAGGAGGACUCGAUUACCCAGGAAAGAAUAAUCGCACAGAACGAGACGGCUGGGGCUCCUCCAACUGCAAAGCCACGACCUACAGGGUUCGCUUCAGUGCAGACAAAAAUGGACUUGCA
ensembl:lncRNA